GAUGAAGAACGUAGCGAAAUGCGAUACGUAAUGUGAAUUGCAAAUUCAGUGAAUCAUCGAGUCUUUGAACGCACAUUGCGCCCCCUGGUAUUCCGGGGGGCAUGCCUGUCCGAGCGUCAUUGCUGCCCUCAAGCACGGCUUGUGUGUUGGGCCCCGUCCUCCGAUCCCGGGGGACGGGCCCGAAAGGCAGCGGCGGCACCGCGUCCGGUCCUCGAGCGUAUGGGGCUUUGUCACCCGCUCUGUAGGCCCGGCCGGCGCUUGCCGAUCAACCCAAAUUUUUAUCCAGGUUGACCUCGGAUCAGGUAGGGAUACCCGCUGAACUUAAGCAUAUCACGGAGGA
rnacentral:misc_RNA from 1 species